CGAUAGUUGUAUAGGAUGUUCUUUCAUUGAAAACAAUUUAAAAGCACGAAGGUCUCCGUACUUUCAAAAGUAUAAUAGCCCCUCUCACUCUCUCCCAUAGCUAAUACAAUUGUGACACUCGUAGAAUUUUGAAUAAUCAUAUAGAUAAGAUAUAAUAGUGCGCUAAAUCUCUUAACCUAGCUGUAGCAUUUUUGGGCGGUGGUUAACACAAAAGGUUAAAAGAGUUAAACGUGUUAGAAUUAAAGUAGUUUUAGGAUUAAUGAUUCUCUGGGAGUGUAAGAUGAGCGUUAACUGAGCUAAGGUCAUACAGCAGGUAAAGUGCGACUCCCGACUGACGAUUGUUAUGGGUGGAACGCUGCUCCCCACAUGAUCAGUUAAGGCUAGCGAGAUAAAUCUCACAUUAUCUAGUGUUUGUGAGUGUAUUUGAGCCUAACGAAAGCAUCAGGAUUUAAAUAGGGAAAGAAUGUGAGUCCCCUAGGACUUGAAAUAGUCCUAUAUAUAAAAUAUAAUAUGGCUUAAUCUUUUAACCCAGUUAUAGUAUUUUGGGCGAUAAUUAAGCCCAAAAAAUUAAAAGAAUAGUUCAGCAUACUAUAACUAAAGUUGUCCUAGAACGGAUGACUCUUUGAAAAAUGGGGCAUCACAAUAAUUC
rnacentral:lncRNA from 1 species